CUGAUCCUCUCUCUCUAAUUAUCUGGGUUUCUCCGUUGAGUGUGAUAUAACUCCGAUACUCAUUGGGCAUCACCUGCAGUUUCCUGGGCACUGAAAGUCCCUUCACCACUAAGGACUUUCAUGUUAAUAACUUGCCUGCACAGCUUAAUUCGCCUCUUUGAUGAUUUAUGAGAUAACAGUAGCCCACAGGGGCUUAUCAGGAGGAAGGUUGGCUGCGGGUCCCUGGGUCCUGGGGGAGAUAAGAACAGCUCUGAGUAAUGGAGCGACGGUGCCCGUCUGCAGAGAGGCCUCUGUGCUCGGGUGGAAGAUUAAAGACUGAAGAACUUCCCAACGAGCCGACAAAAUCAGCCCUGUUUCUGCAUAAAAAUCCUCUAUAGCUUAGAAAUAUGAACUUCAGAAACUGCUUGGUGUGUUUAAUGUCUGGAACACACACCUGGGGGAGAAGACAGAGCUCACUGCUUCUGUGGUUGGUGCCAAAGCUGCCUCUCCUUGCUAGUUUUAUCUUCAUUUUUUCCUGUUGUUGAAAAUCAAUAAAGAAAAAUAUCAAUGCUGCCUGUAUUUGCGGAUAAACAGCAUUUACUCUGCGAUUAUUUGAAAGAAAAAGAAGCCGAAAGCAAGAGCUUUAAGAAAUGCCAGAAACACUGUUUCCAGCCACAUUAUUGUAAUACAGCUUUGAGCAUGUCUAUUACCUUAAGCCCCUGCAUUAUCUUCUUGGAAUAACAUUGUGCUUAAGCUGAUCCAUUUUUCUCUCCUUCAGUAAGGAAGAAACUAUGAAUGGUGUUUAUUACUGUAUCAGGUGAAUGUGUGAGUAUUUUGCUUGCCAAUACUUCUAUGCCUUGCAUUUCAGAGAGAGACAGCUGCAAGAAAUAGAGGGAAUAAAGAAACAGGAUCGGUCAAGUAGGAUAGCAAAAGUGCUGCUCAUCUUACCUUGCCCUGUUGUGUUGGUAGAGAUAUGAGGUGGCUUGGGAUAUUUCUCAAAAUAAAGGGAAAAAGGAAGAGGGAGACCACCGUGGACCUUCUGCAGGAUGUGGACCAUGAGGGAGGUGGUGGCCUAGAAAAGGUAAUGCAGGGAAAUACCCCGAGGAAGCUGUAGUAGAGCCUGCUGGUAAAAUUGUGACUAUAUUUGUGUAUAAAUUGCAUGAUUGGAGAGAAAGAAUAGAGAUAAAAUACAUAGACAGUAAACUUCAAGUGCAAACCCAAUGCUUGCUGAACAUUAGCAGGUCAGCAGGAAACUAGCAGUUUAGUGUUAUCUGAAGAGCUGUUAGCCUGGGAUUCUAGAUAAAUUGUAUUCUGAUUUUCCCUUUUCUACUUUCUCUUUGAGACACGAGUUCUUCACAGCAAAAUGUAAAGUCUCUGCGAGUUUCAAAAAGGGCUAUUUUGCCUCUUACACCCAUCUGGACAUCCAGUAUCUCAAUUUUGGACAGGGAUAACCGACUCGGAGCCCAGCGCUGCGAAGCUAGGGCUGUCACAUAUCUUGUUUUCUGUUUGUCAGUAUUGAACUUUGUCAGCAAUUUCUUUCACUCAGGUAGUGUUUUCAGUAAAUAUUUCUUUCUCAGUAUUUCUCAACAACCUGAAUAUUAUCAGCAAAAUUAUCAUAUCACAAAAUAAUCCCCUCUUCCAGAGCAUUUGUGACAGAUUUGGAUUUGCUAUUCCUCCUUUCUAGCGGCAGCUGCUCAGCUAAAUCAGGGAAAAGGGUAUUUCAGGUUAAAUCUGUGUCCUAACAGCCUUCUUGUAAGUUUACUUCAGCUUUGCGUUGUCUUUUACACUUUUUUUUUUUCCUGCUAGAUUUUUCUAAGUUUUUCCUUAACAGUGAGCCUUAUCAGUAUCUUAUCUGUCACUCUAGAAGUUCCAGAGAAUUGUCUGAAAGAAAAAAUGAGGAAUAUCUGUUAUCUUCAGAACCUUUUCAAAAUUGCAGCCAUCUGUACCCAUAUAGUUGUGUUUCUUUACCUGUUCCCCCUGAUUUAUCCAGGCAAAACAAUUCUAUCUUUUCACUUCCUUUUUUCUUGGGUCAAAAUUUGGGGGUUUUGGGGGAAUGUUACCUCGGUAUGUGCUGUGAUGCUUGAUGAAGAAUAUUGGAGGCAUAGUAUUAAAUGGAAUUUCUCACCUAAAUAUCCCUUUAAAAGGAAGAUGCUGAAGAAGGCGCUGCUUCUCCUUUUGAGUCCUUUGCUGGUGUCACAUAUCUAGUGUUUGUGUCACAUAUCUAGUGUUUGUGUCACAUGAAGGAAAUUAAGACAUUUUUCUCGGGAAAGCACAAAAAGCCAAUCUAGAUAAACUUGAUGGAUUCUUAGGAAUGUGUGUGCAGAAACUGUAACUUUAAACCAAGCUCCCUUCAAAGGGACCUUCAAUCCAUACUCUCAGUGGUGGAAGGUAACAUACUGCUUGGUGCCUAAUCACAGCUUUUAACUGCUGGGUAAUGAUUUGACAUUUAAACUCCCAUUAAAGAGAUAAACACCUUUAGGCUGAGCACUCAGCUCACUUAACCAUGGUGCCUGUUUAGUAUGAAAGACUUCAUGCAUUUUUUUUUUUUUUUUUCU